GACGAACGCUGGCGGCGUGCUUAACACAUGCAAGUCGAACGGAAAGGCCCUGCGCUUGUGGGGUGCUCGAGUGGCGAACGGGUGAGUAACACGCGAGUAUCCUGCCCUUGACUUUCAGAUAACUUCACGAAACUGGGGCUAAUACCGGAGAGGAGCUCCUGCUCCAUGGGGGGGGUUGGAAAGUUUCGGCGGUGGUGGAUGGUCUGGCGGCUUACCAGCUUGUUGGUCGGGUAGGGGAUUACCAAGGCUUUGAGGGGUAGCCGGCCUGGGCGGGUGGACGGGCACCUGGGUCCUGAGAUACGGACCAGUCGGCUACGGGCGGCAACGGGGGAGAAUAUUACACAGCGGGCCCGAGCGUGUGGUGGCAACGCCGCGUGCGUAAUGACGGGCUUCGGGGUGUGAACCGCUUUCGCCUGUGCCGAAGCCAGAGUGACGGUAAUGGGUAAAGAAGCACCGGCUAACUACGUG
rnacentral:rRNA from 1 species